AACGUUAAAACAACGGUUUCCGUAAGAUCACCAAAGUUAAGCAACUUAGAACCUGGUAAAUACCUGAAUGGGUGAUCGCUUGAGAAUAGAAGGUGCUGUAAG